UACGUAGGGUGCAAGCGUUAAUCGGAAUCAUUGGGCGUAAAGCGGGUGCAGGUGGCUAUGUAAGUCAGGUGUGAAAGCCUAGGGCUCAACCCUAGAAGUGCAUUUGAUACUGCGUAGCUUGAGUGGUAGAGAGGAUAGUAGAAUUCUUGGUGUAGUGGUGAAAUACGUAGAUAUCAAGAGGAAUACCGGAGGCGAAGGCGGCUAUCUGGCUACACACUGACACUCAGACCCGAAAGUGCGGGGAUCAAACAGG
rnacentral:rRNA from 1 species